GGGAUUGAAAUGUUUGGAAAUCGGCUAUGGAAACUUCCUUUCCUCGUCUGGGAGAUGAUUCCUUCUCUAUCUCUAAGAUUUUUCUAUGAAGACUAGUACAAGAAGGAUGUCCACAAAUGAAGACAUACCUUCCUUUACUAAUAGAUAAAGAAAGAAAGACUCUACCAAAGGUUAUAUGAUUAAGACCAAUGUAAAAAUAUCAAGAAAAAACAUGGUCUUGUUGGGCUAGGUCUAAACCAGAAUUUAUAGAAAGAUUAACAGAUUCCCUAGGUGUAGCUAAAAGUGCAUUAUCUUCUUGAUUAAAAGAUAGGCCCUUGGCUAUAGAAAAGGGUUGGUUUUGAUCUAUUGCAAUCAACUCCGGACACAGAUCAUAAUUAGGGGCAAAGAAAGGACUUGUUGACUCCAAUGGUCUAUGGC
rnacentral:lncRNA from 1 species